GAAGAACAGAUGAAAUUUUUCAUAACUGUGGGUAAUGAAGAACGGUAAUAAUAGAUCAAGAGAAUAAUGUCAGAAUUAAUGUUAAUGCAAACCCUGCUAUAAAUAGGAGCAGAUUCAGCAGCUGUUUAUCACUUGAGUAACUCCUACAUUACCAGUAUUGAUCGAGAAAGGUUUUAUCAGUUUGAAAAAAACCCAACCCCUUGUAUGGCUGCUUGAGAGCUCCCUCUCGUGGUAAACUUUCCUGGACGAGCUUCCCAAGUAUUCCUGUCCCAAAGGCAUCUGGUUGAAACUUUUGCCUACCGGAUCGAUUACUGAUAACGCUGCUCAGCGAAGGCAAGAAGCCAAGCUAGCAGUUGUUACAGAUCUUAUUUUUGCUUGGCUGUCCACCCUUCUCACAUGGAAACCUACUAGUUUGGCAUGGAUCCAAAUAUCACUUGGUAUUUUGGGGGAAUUUCUGUAAAUGAGUAAGCAUAUGAAAAAAAGAAAGUAUUCAUUUGGGUUCUAGGAAAAAGAAAUGGAUUAUUUAUUUUUUUACCUUAAAAAGAAGGAAUUAUUGUGCUUAUCUAGAACAGUUCAGAAUCUCUCGUUCUCAUAUCUGAGUUAAUGCUGCUGGACAUGCAGUUUAAAGCAGACUGUACUUACUACAGCCUUCAGUUUUGACCAAAUCCCCACUAUUAGGGGUCUGUGCUGUACCAGGGUGUGGUUUUCCUAAACUGCUUUGCAGUUCAGUCCUCCCAUUCCAUCCAGGACAAGUACCAAGGGUUUGGAAAAAGAGGUUCAGGACGUUCUUCCCUUCCUCCCACCACCCUAAGUCUUGACCUUCCGUGCCUCACCUGGGAAAAGAUCUGGAUCUGCAGCGUCAGGGACAACAGCAGUAGCCACAAACCGUUUGCAUAACAUAAUGUGGUGGAGUCAUUGCAAUUGGCUUUUUGUGCCUCCUGUGAGACAGGCUGAGUCAUACCUCUUGGUACCUCUGUAGCAGCCAAUGCAAGGGACCGUGAAAGUUGCUUCUAAGGAUGCAGAGGGUGCACCAGUUCUCCCUGUUUUCCUACAGUUAAAGUGAUGACCUGUCCAGAUCUUCCGAUCUAGAGUGAAUGAUGCCAUUUUAGAAUGAAAAUUGAAAUGAGAUAAUGGUCAUGAAUACAGCUUUGAAAAUAAUAGCACUGGAAAUGAAGUAAAAUAGUGGGGAAAAUAAGGUGGAUCGUGGGGGAAGACUGUAAGG